rnacentral:rRNA from 1 species
UACGUAGGGUGCAAGCGUUGUCCGGAAUUAUUGGGCGUAAAGAGCUCGUAGGCGGUUUGUUGCGUCGGCUGUGAAAUCCCCGAGGCUCAACCUCGGGUCUGCAGUCGAUACGAGCAAACUAGAGUGUUGCAGGGGAGACUGGAAUUCCUGGUGUAGCGGUGAAAUGCGCAGAUAUCAGGAGGAACACCGGUGGCGAAGGCGGGUCUCUGGGCAACAACUGACGCUGGAGGAGCGAAA